UCAUUUGUAAGAUAAGAUAUGGGUUUUUGUAUCUUCAUACUUCCUGAGAAUCUCACCACCAUGGGAAAGUUCUUGGCAACAAAGCAGUAAUGAAAUGUGGUGAGCAAUCAGCUCAACUUUUUCAAGAAGUUGCAACAGUAAUUAUCUGGUUUUCUGUAAUUUUCUGAUUAGUGCGGUGGCUUUCUUUCCUAUAAUAAUUCUCAUACUUUUAUGGUGAUGCCAACUUUCCAAUUUCUAAGGAAGAAGUUAUAGCUCAAAAACUGUUUCCUUCCCGAACGUGUUAUAUUGCAGCUGAAGUACAACUCCUGCAUAAGAUUUCGAUAUCCUCUGGGUUUAUAGGUUUAUCUUGCCGUCAGAAUAGCUAUUUAGUCAUAUGACACUCCUCUUGAUAUUUUGAAUAUGUAGGUCAAUUUUCUCCACUGCCCAUACAUGGAAUGUUUUUGCAAGUGAUGGAACCACUGAAGUGUUAUUAUAGAAACUAGAGGGGUUUUCCAGAGAAGACAAGGCGGUGAGAGACAGACUUGUUGAUCCUAGAGGCUGGAAGUGGAACUAUGGAAUCUAUGUUGUUUUCAAAUAAUGGUCCAGACAUUCCAACCAUGUUCUGUUUUGUCUCUCUCUCUCUCUCUGACAUUUUGGUAAGCCUUUCUUAACAUAAUAAUGCUAUACAAAACUCAUAAUUCUAAUUAAUUUUGUAACCACUCCAUCAGGAAGAAAAAAGCCUUCCUUUUCUUAUUUUCAGUACAAAUGGUACUCCCUUUUUUUUUUUCCAGACCAAUAGAAUAUAAAAUAUAGUGUGUUUUGAUACACGAGUCCUGUUAACUUGAGUGAUACGAUGUUACAUGAGAUAAGAAUUGAUAUUAAAAUCUAUAAUUGCACUCACUUUCAAUAUUAAAGCCUUUAUUGACGUGUAUGUAUGUUAUGGAAACGCUAUAAUCAGUAUCAUAUAGUACUGUACUAAACAAUUAACAAGUUGUUCAUACACCAACCUGAGCUCUUGAAAAUCUUUUUUAAGAGAGCAAAUUAGAACUGCUUACUUCAAUUGACAGGCAAUGCAUCAGGUUCCAGGUGCCAAGACCUUUCUGGUCUUCCGCUUCCUGGAACAUUGAACGCAACUACUCUAUUGGAAAAACUGAGCAUUUUGGUUCUUGACACAGUUCUGAUCAAAAUUGCAGAAUUGCCUUUGGAAAAAGGUCAUGCACCCUGGCACCUCCACUAGGCUGGCUGUUCUCAUCUCUGUUUUUUCAUUGAAAUCUGAAAUCACCUCGACAAUCUGACAACUGUAGUGACACAAGUCGUAUUGCUUCCAUCUGCAGUUCCAGUUUCUGUGCACAGCCCAUAUUUCACCUUUUCUUGGAUAUAUUUUGUAGAAAGAUUUCUCGACACUCUGUUCCAAACACUCACCACGUGUGAGAAUAUAGACAGCUGCAGGUUGUGAGUGGAUUUACUUUACUAGCCUUGAACAACCCACAAACAAAUGGCAAGUUUUCCUCAACCCACUAGAUUUCAUCAUCAUUCAUGGGAAUAAUGGGAUGCGGCUCCAAGUAUGACGCACAAACUUCAUCUACAGAGACCACAUUAUUUACCAUAACAUAUGACCGUGGCAUAGAAUCAGGACCAUCAUAUACAGCCCAUAUUUGUACUAGAUGAAAAUUUUCUGCUGACCAUUUGAUGUCUAACGAUUGUGUAUCUAGAUGUAACAACGGAAGAGAAGGAGCUUGUAGGCAGUCAGUGGAGGUAGCAGACUUUCUAGGACACCCUGCUGAUGAUUCCUCCAUGUGACGGUCUACAAUAUCUGGAAUUCCCAAGGGUCCAGUUCAAACAUUGUCUGUGGGCUGCAACCUGAACAAGUUUCUUGAAGAGAUUGUGAAAUGGUGCUCGCAGCCACAGAAUUUGUGUCUUGUGAAAAUAUUUUGGAACCCUCGGACCUUUUCCAAGCCCACAACCAUCGCAUCUUCCAAGCCAGAAUAACUUGUUAGGAUCUCUACCAUCUUCAGGAUCACUGCACCAUUUCCUUGGAGUCCAGUCUUUAUAAAUAGCCCAAAUCUCAUUUUCCUUUGGCAGCAUAUCAAUUGGAUGGGGUGGCGGGGUGGCGGGGUGGCAAGGCAAGAGACAAUACGGGAGAACAUUUUUUACUUGUGUUGUCAUUCCUUUCAAGUUCAAGAUUUCGUCUUAUGCCAAAAAAGAAGGUUAAAGUAGCUAGUAAUAUUCUUUUGGGACAAUUACAUAUAUUAGUACAUUUUUGAAAAUAAUUACAAAAAUUAUACAGUUAUAAAAUAAUUACAAAAAUACUACACUUUAUCAUUUUUAUUUUCAAACCUAAUACAAUUAAAAAUCCUUAAAUUAAGGGAUUAGUAUUAAUGGGUAGCAAAUUAAUUUUCAUCUUCCUUAAAUCUCUCUCUAUCCGCCCUUACUAUUUCUCUCUCUUCUCUCUCUCCUCUCGAAGCAUCUCGUCGUCAUCUUCUUACGCCACCGCCGCCGUCGCCGCCGCAACACCAGUCUCUCAACUCGUCGUCGUCCUCUUCUUCAUCUACUGGUAUUUCUUCAUCUACUGAUAUUUUUUCAUCUAAUAUUUCUUCAUCUACUGAUAUUUUUUCUUCUUUUUGUAUUGAUAUUUCUACUGGUAUUUCUUCUUUUUAUUCAUCUUCAUCAUUAAUUAAUUAGUCUUCUUUUUUCCUAUUAAUUAGGGCUGAUAUUUUUAUUUAUUUAUUUUUUCUUUUCUGUACUGAUAUUUCUACUAAUAUUUCAUUUUUUUUCUACUGAUUAGUCUUCUUUUUUUGGUGGAGUAAAUUAAUUAGUUAAUUAUUUUUUAAUUUACUUUUGUUGCACUUGUUGAUUCACAGGUUGUUCAUUUUAGUGAAAAAAAGGUUUUGGAUCAGAAAGCAUACAUGUUGUUCUAUUAUCAUAUAAUUUUUAAAGGUGUGUUAAUUUAAAUUUUGUUAGUGUUACUAUCAUAUAACUGUUUAGUUACUUCCGCAUUAUGUUUUGGUUACUGUUAGCUUGAAAUUCGGAUACCAUUUUUGUUACCUUGAUUUGAUAUUUUGAUUACUUUUUUAUGUUGUUAUGGUUACCGUGUAUUUGCUUAGUAUAUAUGGUUGACUAAACUGAUUUUGGUGUACAUGUUGUUUAUGUAUUGGUUACCAUUAAAACAUGUUUUGGUUACUAUCAUAUAAAUAUUUGGUUACUUAUUUAGUAUGUUUUUGGUUACUGUUAUUUUCUGAUUUAGAUUCUAUUUUUGUUUCCUUGAGUUGGGAUUUUGUUUCCAUUCGUGUUCCCUCAAUUUGGGAUUUUGGUUACUUUUUUUAUGUUAUUUUGGUUACCUUGUAUUUGCUUAGUAUACAUUGGUUGACUAAACUGGGUUUGGUCUACAUAUUUUUUUUGUGUUGGUUACCAUUAAAACAUAGUUUGGUUACUGUCAUAUAACUAUUCGGUUACUUUUUAGUAUGGUUAAACCAUGUAUUUUCUUAGUAUACAUUGAUGUAUUAUUUUUGUGAAUUCCUUCAGAUAUCUUCUACAAGGUUUAUGUUCUUCUAGUUCUACUUUCAUUUCCACAAACACAUCAUACAUGGGCUCUCUAUUCACUAAUCCCAAUGUAUUUUUCUUCCUCCCACAGGUUCAUAAUGUAGGAUUCAUUUCUAGAGAAUGAGAGCAGCCAUGAAGAAGAAAGUAGCAGCAACCAAAAAGCUCAAGUUUUAGGAAGAUUUGUACCAGAUUUUGAUUUGUUCGAUUGUCGUUGUCUUGUCCUUCUGAAUUGUGUUUCGUUCUUUGAUUUUUGUUGGAUAUCCAUAACCAUUUGUUAUGGUUAGUGAGUAUGUAAUGUUUUAUUGGAGCUUAUGUAAA
rnacentral:lncRNA from 1 species